AACGAACGCUGGCGGCAUGCCUAACACAUGCAAGUCGAACGCCAUGGUUUCGGCCAUGGAGUGGCGCACGGGUGAGUAACGCGUGGGAACCUGCCCAGCAGUAUGGGACAACCGCGGGAAACUGCGGCUAAUACCGUAUACGCCCGUCUUUGGGAGACCAGGGGCGGGGAAAGAUUGAUCGCUGUUGGAGGGGCCCGCGUCGGAUUAGGUAGUUGGUGGGGUAAAGGCCUACCAAGCCUGCGAUCCGUAGCUGGUCUGAGAGGAUGAUCAGCCACACUGGGACUGAUACACGGCCCAGACUCCUACGGGAGGCAGCAGUGGGGAAUAUUGGACAAUGGGCGUAAGCCUGAUCCAGCAAUGCCGCGUGAGUGAUGAAGGCCUUAGGGUUGUAAAGCUCUUUCACACGCGACGAUGAUGACGGUAGCGUGAGAAGAAGCCCCGGCUAACUCCGUGCCAGCAGCCGCCGUAAGAC
rnacentral:rRNA from 1 species